GGUAAUAUCAUUCAUUGGGAAGAAAUUUAACUUUGGAAUCAAAGGGAUACAGGUUCAAAUUCUGUUUUUGCCA
rnacentral:tRNA from 1 species